rnacentral:rRNA from 1 species
UACGUAGGGGCUAGCGUUGUCCGGAAUCAUUGGGCGUAAAGCGCGUGUAGGCGGUCCGGUAAGUCCGCUGUGAAAGUCGGGGGCUCAACCCUCGAAUGCCCGGUGGAUACUGUCGGGCUAGAGUGCGGAAGAGGCGAGUGGAAUUCCUGGUGUAGGCGGUGGAAAUGACGCAGAUAUCUAGGAGGAACACCUAUUGCGAAGGCAGCUCGCUGGGGACGUAACUGGCGCUGAGAACGCGAAAGCGUGGGGAGCAAACAGG